rnacentral:rRNA from 1 species
UAGAGUUUGAUCCUGGCUCAGAUUGAACGCUGGCGGCAGGCCUAACACAUGCAAGUCGAGCGGUAACAGAAAGUAGCUUGCUACUUUGCUGACGAGCGGCGGACGGGUGAGUAAUGCCUGGGAAUAUGCCUUGAUGCGGGGGAUAACCAUUGGAAACGAUGGCUAAUACCGCAUAAUGUCUUCGGACCAAAGAGGGGGACCUUCGGGCCUCUCGCGUCAAGAUUAGCCCAGGUGGGAUUAGCUAGUAGGUGAGGUGAUGGCUCACCUAGGCGACGAUCUCUAGCUGGUCUGAGAGGAUGAUCAGCCACACUGGAACUGAGACACGGUCCAGACUCCUACGGGAGGCAGCAGUGGGGAAUAUUGCACAAUGGGCGCAAGCCUGAUGCAGCCAUGCCGCGUGUGUGAAGAAGGCCUUCGGGUUGUAAAGCACUUUCGGUCGUGAGGAAGGCAGUUGCGUUAAUAGCGUAAUUGUUUGACGUUAGCGACAGAAGAAGCACCGGCUAACUCCGUGCCAGCAGCCGCGGUAAUACGGAGGGUGCGAGCGUUAAUCGGAAUUACUGGGCGUAAAGCGCAUGCAGGUGGUUAGUUAAGUCAGAUGUGAAAGCCCGGGGCUCAACCUCGGAAU